rnacentral:piRNA from 1 species
GUCAGCAUCUAGAGUGGGGAGACACCACC